rnacentral:lncRNA from 1 species
GUUAGGUUCUGCCAAUAGAAGAUACUAGAGAAAGAAAGCCAAGAGAAGAAAAGAGACUUCUUCCUUCAAAGUCUAAGCUGUUCCAAUGGCAUUAUUCUGGGAAUGGCAUCUCCCACUCCUUCUAGCACAAAGAACCAGCUUCCUCAUACCCCGUCAAGGAACUGCAGCCUCCAGAAUACAUUCAUACCUAACACCUCAAUAGAUGACAUGUUAUCCAUGGAAUCGAGUUCAAAGCCCUCUGUAACGUGGCUAUAUCCCAUCUACUCUGAGCUGAUGUUCAGCAGGUGAUGGCCACAGUGGCAGAACCUAGGAAGCCAAGAAGAAACCAGAGAACGGAGACACAUGGCAGCAAUGGCAAGUCAUCAGACCCAGGAUUUCCCAAAGAACACUGGUCCAGGAAGAUGCUCUGUGAAAAAGUGUUCCCCAGUCAGAGAAAUUUGUGAAACACUUUGCAUAAUACUUAAAAUAAUGUAUGGCACAUCAAAGGUAAUAUGCAAUAAGGGAAUUCAUUUUUUAAAACCAA